UUUAUUAUUAUUAUUAUUUGAAAAUUACCCUGAAUGGCCCCCAUGACUGUUAGAUGCAUACUUGGAAAAAAUUUACUUGUUUCAAAUCUUGUAGCUCCCUAUUGGAAUUAACCCGGAUGAGGCGGGGUAUAAGUAUUUAUCAUAUGUUGAUAAACCCAAUAGCUUUAUAGGGUGCGAAAAGCAUAUACCAUGAUCUAAUUGUUUAAUGGUGGUUUCACUUGAUAAACUAGAUUGGAUCUCCUGUGCAUGUGUCAGGUUGGCAUGUCUAUUUGUGUAGAGAUGACUAUGGAGGGGAUUGCAAACCUCUAAGGGCUUGUGCCUGGGUAUAGUAUUUUGCCACAUUUAGUUGUAGGUUGCUUGCAAUUUUGUUUUUAUUAACUAGCAAUAUCCAUGCCAUGCCUGGACAAUCUCCUAUUGAUUUUUACAUGGAUGCUUAUUCAAAAAAUGAUGUGUGUAGAGUUGUUGGUUGGCAUGAGCUGGUUUUUGGCUGCAGGUAAUUGAUUAUGGAGUUUAUAAGCUUUGGAAAUACAAUAAUGUUGGGCUGUUGGCUAAAAUGGAUAUUAGUUGAGAAGAUCCUGAGUAACUUUCUCAUCUUGCAAUUCUGUGGACAACGUCCAACUAUAUUAUAUGCAGAUUAAAAGAUGCUUUGGUGUUGUUAGUUACUGGUGAAGAGAGAAGCCAUUGGUGAAUGUCUUAUG